rnacentral:rRNA from 1 species
AACAAACGCUGGCGGCGUGCCUAACACAUGCAAGUCGUACGAGAAAGUCGGCUUCGGCCGAUGAGUACAGUGGCGCACGGGUGAGUAGCGCGUGGGUAAUCUGCCCCCCGGUCAGGAAUAACCCGCCGAAAGGCGGGCUAAUACCCGAUAACACUGACGCUCCGCGGAGCGUCUUUCAAAGAAGGCCUCUGUUUACAAGCUUUCGCCGGAGGAUGAGCCCGCGUACCAUUAGCUAGUUGGCAGGGUAAUGGCCUACCAAGGCUACGAUGGUUAGCUGGUCUGAGAGGAUGGCCAGCCACACUGGAACUGAGACACGGUCCAGACUCCUACGGGAGGCAGCAGUGAGGAAUCUUGCGCAAUGGGGGAAACCCUGACGCAGCAACGCCGCGUGAGUGAGGAAGGCCUUCGGUCGUAAGACUCUAUCAGCAGGGAAGGAAGAAUGACGGUACCUCGACUAAGAAGACCCCGGCCGUAACUACCGUGCCACGCAGCCGCGGUAACGAUACUCGUAC